GAUGAAGAACGCAGCGAAAUGCGAUAAGUAAUGUGAAUUGCAGAAUUCAGUGAAUCAUCGAAUCUUUGAACGCACAUUGCGCCCCCUGGUAUUCCGGGGGGCAUGCCUGUCCAAGCGUCAUUACAACCCUCAAGCUCAGCUUGGUGUUGGGCCCCGCCGCCCCGGCGGGCCCUAAAGUCAGUGGCGGUGCCGUCCGGCUCCGAGCGUAGUAAUUCUUCUCGCUCUGGAGGUCCGGUCGUGUGCUCGCCAGCAACCCCCAAUUUUUUUCAGGUUGACCUCGGAUCAGGUAGGGAUACCCGCUGAACUUAAGCAUAUCAAUAAGCGGAGGA
rnacentral:misc_RNA from 1 species